AGUUCGGAGCGCACACCCAGCUGAGAUCCAGGGCGUGACAGUCCCCCAGAGUCGGGGAGGAGGGGUGCGGGCUCUCUGCUCCUCACUUUCCUGCAGAGAUGAAAUCAUGGAGCUUAUCGCUGUCGAGGAGGGAGUCAGACUCUCCCGGACUCAGACCCUUUUCUAGAAGACACCAGCUUCCUGCUCUGUGAGUGUUGGUUCAAUAAUACGUUGAGCCAGAUGUGGUGGCACACGCCUGUCAUCUCAACGGCUGGGAAGGCCGAGGCAGGAGGAUCGCAAGUUCACAACCAGCCUCACCAACUUAGCACGGCCCUGUCUCUGAAUAAAAUAUUUAAAAAGGGCUGGGAUGGGACUCAGUGGUUAAGAGCCCCUGGGUUCAACCUCUGGUACCAAAAUAAGUAAAUAAAUACAUAAAAUAA